UACGAAGGGUGCAAGCGUUACUCGGAAUUACUGGGCGUAAAGCGUGCGUAGGUGGUGAGUUAAGUCUGAUGUGAAAUCCCCGGGCUCAACCUGGGAAUGGCAUUGGAUACUGGCUCGCUAGAGUGCGGUAGAGGGUGGUGAAUUCCCGGUGUAGCAGUGAAAUGCGUAGAGAUCGGGAGGAACAUCUGUGGCGAAGGCGGCCACCUGGACCAACACUGACACUGAGGCACGAAAGCGUGGGGAGCAAACAGG
rnacentral:rRNA from 1 species